rnacentral:misc_RNA from 1 species
GGGCAACCGCGAGCAGCAGUUCCGCUGGGCUGAUCUCGAAGAACAUUGAGAAGAGCUUAACUGGAGCAUUUGCGCCAUUGGGGAUAUCGGACUGGAACUCCCUGUUCUGGAUCGCACAUCCCGGGGGUCCGGCGAUACUGGACCAGGUGGAGGCGAAGCUGGGACUGCAGAAGGAGAAGAUGAGGGCGACAAGGCAUGUGCUGAGCGAGUAC